rfam:Operophtera brumata OBRT01_Sc12159, whole genome shotgun sequence.
CUAAAGGCUCUUUUCAGAGCCACAUAGCUCACGCACCGUGACCAUG